rnacentral:rRNA from 1 species
CAGCAGCCGCGGUAAUACGUAGGUGGCAAGCGUUGUCCGGAAUUAUUGGGCGUAAAGGGCUCGCAGGCGGUUUCUUAAGUCUGAUGUGAAAGCCCCCGGCUCAACCGGGGAGGGUCAUUGGAAACUGGGAAACUUGAGUGCAGAAGAGGAGAGUGGAAUUCCACGUGCAGCGGUGAAAUGCGUAGAGAUGUGGAGGAACACCAGUGGCGAAGGCGACUCUCUGGUCUGUAACUGACGCUGAGGAGCGAAAGCGUGGGGAGCGAACAGGAUUAGAUACCCCAGUAGUCCCUGUCUCUUAUAC